AUUGCCAUUUUCAUUUAGUCUAUUUUCAGAACCUGAAGGAUGACCAAAAACAAGAUCAAUGGGCAAUCUCAUGUCGUCACCGAACAUCAUUUUAUAUGGGGUGUGACCAGUAGCAGAGUGAACAGAUGACCAGUAUGCCAUCAAGCAGAAAGAGCGAUUCAAUGAUGCGUGACGGGAACGAUCCAACCAAGCAUGACCGGACACAAUAGCAGAAGAUUUUGAUUUUCAUUGUCAUAAUAAAUAAACAACAAACUGCUU